rnacentral:rRNA from 1 species
UACGUAGGGUGCAAGCGUUAAUCGGAAUUACUGGGCGUAAAGCGUGCGCAGGCGGUUCGGCAAGAAAGAUGUGAAAUCCCAGGGCUUAACCUUGGAACUGCAUUUUUAACUGCCGAGCUAGAGUAUGUCAGAGGGGGGUAGAAUUCCACGUGUAGCAGUGAAAUGCGUAGAGAUGUGGAGGAAUACCGAUGGCGAAGGCAGCCCCCUGGGAUAAUACUGACGCUCAUGCACGAAAGCGUGGGGAGCAAACAGG